ensembl:lincRNA 4930555O08Rik RIKEN cDNA 4930555O08 gene
AGAGGAUAACAGACAGCUGAUGCAGGGACACCAAACUUCAGACUUCUGACUGCCAACCAAGCCAUCUGUAAAGGGCAUGCCUACCACAGGGACACCCAGAGCCACCUCUGGAUAUUUGGCCAUGUGGUAUCAUCAUUCGACCCUUGCUCUUUCUUCCCUGCAUCCCUUCUCUCUAGACAGAUGUGUUCCCAAGAGAUUUCCCCAGUGAAUCCUGUCUGCCUCAUUGACUCUCUUCUUAGCAUCUGGCCUGAGAUGCAAAAUCAGACUCUCAUGGAAAACAUCCUAAGCUGAAGACUGGUCCUGGAGCUUCCCUUGGUGAGAAUUGUUAAGUCAAGGGCUGGACCAUUGAGAAUUAGUACCUUGAGUCCUGGACUGAAAACAUCUGGAUUCAACAGCUGAAGCCCUCUGAACUCCAAGGCUUGAAGAAGUGGCCCCCACCUGUUGGAGGUAUCAGUUCUUUCCAUGCCUGAAGAUGAUACGCAGGCUCUUCCACACAGGACAACACACCACCUGAGACCAUGUUGUCAUGAUUUCUUAGCCACCCAUAAUGAGGGCAGAGAAGAGCCUGGCCUGCUAAGGGUAGAAAGAGGCUUCACCGUGAAGGAUCUGAAGGGCUUGGGCAAUGAAUGAACAGAAAGAGCCAUGUGCUGGAUAAAGUUGGUCAAUGU